rnacentral:rRNA from 1 species
CUAGAGUUACAUAGAGGUAAGUGGAAUUCUUAGUGGAGCGGUGGAAUGCGUAGAUAUUAGGAAGAACACCAAUGGCGAAGGCAGCUUACUGGAUGUACACUGACGCUCAGGGACGAAAGCGUGGGGAGCAAACAGGAUUAGAUACCCUGGUAGUCCACGCCGUAAACGAUGAUCAUUAGCCGCUAGAAUAUUUAGUGGCGCAGCUAACGCAUUAAAUGAUCCGCCUGAGUAGUAUGCUCGCAAGAGUGAAACUUAAAGGAAUUGACGAGGACCCGCACAAGCGGUGGAGCAUGUGGUUUAAUUUGAAGAUACGCGUAGAACCUUACCCACUCUUGACAUCUUCCGCAAUACUAUGGAGACAUAGUGGAGGUUAACGGAAUGACAGAUGGUGCAUGGUUGUCGUCAGCUCGUGCCGUGAGGUGUUAGGUUAAGUCCUGCAACGAGCGCAACCCCUGUCUUUAGUUACUAACGGAUAAUGCCGAGGACUCUAGAGAGACUGACUGGGUAACCAGUAGGAAGGUGGGGACGACGUCAAAUCAUCAUGCCUCUUACGAGUGGGGCAACACACGUGCUACAAUGGACGGUACAAAGAGAAGCAAUAUGGUGACAUGGAGCAAACCUCAAAAAACCGUUCUCAGUUCGGAUUGAAGUCUGAAACUCGACUUCAUGAAGUUGGAAUCGCUAGUAAUCGUAGAUCAGCUACGCUACGGUGAAUACGUUCUCGGGUCUUGUACACACCGCCCGUC